rnacentral:rRNA from 1 species
GCUGAACGCUGGCGGCGUGCCUAAUACAUGCAAGUCGAGCGGAGCGGGGACAGGUGAGUAAAAUGUGUAUAACCUCCUAUAAGGCUGGGAUAACUUCGGGAAACCGGAGCUAAACCGGAUACUUAUAGAUGGAGCCGCGCUGGAUUAGCUAGGUGGUAAGGUCACGGCUUACCAAGGCAACGAUUCAUAGCCGACAUGAGAGGGUGAUCUGCCAAACUGUGACUGAGACACGGGCCAGACUCCUACGCGAGGAAGCAGUAGGGAAUUAUCCGCAAUGGGCGAAAGCCUGAUAGAGCGAAGCCGCGUGAGUGAUGAAGGUCUUCGGAUCGUAAAACUCUGUCAUUCGGGAAGCGGUACCUAGGCAGAAAGCACCGGCUAACUCCGUGCCAGCAGCCGCGGUAAUAC